rnacentral:rRNA from 1 species
GGCUGAAAUUCGCCUUCCAUGAAGUCGGAAUUGCUAGUAAUGGCAGGUCAGCAUACUGCCGUGAAUACGUUCCCGGGCCCUUGUACACACCGCCCGUCACACCAUGAGAGUUAGGAAUACCCGAAGCCUGUGAGCCAACUUGUAAAAGAGGCAGCAGUCGAAGGUAGAACUAAUGAUUGGGGUGAAGUCGUAACAAGGUACC